UACAGAGGUCCCAAGCGUUGUUCGGAUUCACUGGGCGUAAAGGGUGCGUAGGUGGCGGGGUAAGUCGGAUGUGAAAAUCUCCGAGCUCAACUCGGAAAUGGCAUUGGAAACUACCUUGCUCGAGGGUUGGAGGGGGACUGGAAUACUUGGUGUAGCAGUGAAAUGCGUAGAUAUCAAGUGGAACACCAGUGGCGAAGGCGAGUCCCUGGACAAACUCCUGACACUGAGGCACGAAAGCUAGGGGGAGCAAACAGGA
rnacentral:rRNA from 1 species